rnacentral:lncRNA from 1 species
UGAGUACUUACUUUAGUCCAGGCCUAAAGACUUGGCCGUCCAAGAUAACUCACCAUCUUGAGCUGUGGACCAGCUCAUGCAGUCUUCACCACUGUAUAUGCAGCUACGUACAGUAGCUCAACUUUGCUGAUGAAGAAACAGAGACACGUCAAGGUUGUGUUCCAUGUUCAAUGUCACAGGGAGCUGACACGAUGUUCACCCAGGUAGUCCACAUCCAGAACCUGUGCUCCAGGGAGCUCUAGGCUCCACUGUGUCUACACAAUGUGUCGACUCCUAUGGCACUUGAAGCUACAAACACAGUUGUCCCUCUAUUUCCCCUUAGACUCCACAACAAUGGACUCUACAGAAAUCUAAUGGACCAGUGUUCAGCAAACCACACCUGCAAACAGGAGCCUAAAAGACCAAGCAUCAGCUUACAAAUUGUGUUACCGAACCAGCUUCAUUUUUGCCCAUCAUCUGGAAAGCCAAAUACGGAGGUGCCAAGAUUGCAGCAGAAAGGGAGUUUAAUCACAAGGCAGCUAAGUGAGGAAACAGGAGAACGAGUUUCAAAUCCACCCCCCUGAAAAAGGGGACUUAGGAAUAUUUAUGGGGUAGGGAGGUAAGGAGGUCUGAAAUGUGGAGAGAGGAGAGUGGAGGUGAGAUAACUGAUGAUCUGUGCAAGCAUAGUUCGGACUCCACGCCUCUUCAUAGGACGCAUGUUCACAAAAUGGCAUUGUUAGCAUGAUCCAAGGGUAGAGGUUUUAGCCUCUUGAUGUCAAAAAAUCACUUAAUGGACAUCUGUAUGCGUCCACUUGAUGGGUUGGUGGUCUCAACUGACCUGAAGUGGACAAAGGGAUUCCAAUGCCUCAAAAACAGCUCAAACACCCAUUACCAUGGUGACCCAGGUGCCAGGGAGAUGUUAUCUAUAGGAGCCUGGUGGGAGUCAGAUAGGAUAUUGCCUAAACAGCACAGUUAACAAUGGGCAGGUAAACAGCUAAAAACAAUAAUCAGUAACUGCAAAAAGGAAAAAAAACCAAAACCUUUAGUUCCCAGCUACUUAAUCAUCAGUGGCUAACUUUUUGCCAGUUUCAAUCUGUUUUUGUGAAUAAAGUUUUUUUGAAGCCCAGCCAUGUCCGUUUGCUUAUGUAUUGUCCAUGGAUGCUUUCUGCUGCAAGGGCAGAAGUGAGUAGGUGCAACAGAGACUGUAGGGCCCACGAAGCCUAAACUAUUUACUCUCUGGCCCUUUCCAGAAAAAUUUCGCCAGCCCUUGCAACAGACAAUGAUAACCAGGAAUCCGAUGCUCGUGGUGAGAAGUCCAGGUUAGCAGGGCCUCCGGCAGAAAGCCCCGGAUGUUGUCCCGUUUAGAUGUGAUACGCGUUUCCACAGUGCUUACCACAUUAGUUGCUUAAAUGUGAAAAUCUAUCAGCGUUUUUGUAAGUGGGCUGCUGCUCUUACUUCACAGUUUUCCCUUGGUAAAAUAGCUUUCGGAGGCAUUUGUUACUUUUGACUUCGUGUGAAUGAAGAAAGGAGUGAAGGGUGGCAAGAUGUAACUCCAAAUGGGAGCAGUUUCCUCUCUCCCAGGCAGGACUCUGGGAUUUCAGAUGGAAAAGCCCAGUGGGUUUUGUGUUGCUGCCCUGAUCUUUGCUUCCUGCAUCUGUGGCAUAAAGGACUUGUUCUUGUUUGGAGGAAAACCAGGAUGGCAUCAGAUUCUGCGGAAAUUUGUGAGCACCAAGGUGUUUCAUGAUCCAAACUGCUUUCCCAAGUUGGCACAGAUUGAAGUGUCUGAGGGGACACGGGUGCGGAAUCGAUACAGUUCGCACUCCCAGGGGCCUGCGGGCCAGGGAGACGGGAGUGUGGGGAAACACAGUUCCCAUUGCCUCAGCACCUGGACUGUGAACCCAAGAGGACCCGGGGCGGGGGAAGCGAGAGGCAAAAGUCUGUAAAUAUUAUUCAAAUAAAGAAAGCACAAGGUCAGAAAG